CCUACGGGUGGCUGCAGUGGGGAAUAUUGGACAAUGGGCGAAAGCCUGAUCCAGCCAUGCCGCGUGUGUGAAGAAGGCCUUCGGGUUGUAAAGCACUUUCAGUGGGGAAGAAAGCCUUGGGGCUAAUACCCUCGAGGAAGGACAUCACCCACAGAAGAAGCACCGGCUAACUCCGUGCCAGCAGCCGCGGUAAUACGGAGGGUGCGAGCGUUAAUCGGAAUUACUGGGCGUAAAGCGCGCGUAGGCGGUCUGAUAAGCCGGUUGUGAAAGCCCCGGGCUCAACCUGUGAACGGCAUCCGGAACUGUCAGGCUAGAGUGCAGGAGAGGAAGGUAGAAUUCCCGGUGUAGCGGUGAAAUGCGUAGAGAUCGGGAGGAAUACCAGUGGCGAAGGCGGCCUUCUGGACUGACACUGACGCUGAGGUGCGAAAGCGUGGGUAGCAAACAGGAUUAGAUACCCUAGUAGUC
rnacentral:rRNA from 1 species